GUGUCAGCCGCCGCGGUAAUACAGAGGGGGCAAGCGUUAUUCGGAAUUAUUGGGCGUAAAGGGCGCGUAGGCGGCUUGGCAAGUGGAUGGUGAAAUCCCUCGGCUUAACUGAGGAACUGCCAUCCAGACUGCUUUGCUUGAGGCCGGGAGAGGUGAGUGGAAUUCCCAGUGUAGCGGUGAAAUGCGUAGAUAUUGGGAGGAACACCAGUGGCGAAGGCGGCUCACUGGACCGGUUCUGACGCUGAUGCGCGAAAGCGUGGGGAGCAAACGGGAUUAGAAACCCCCGUAGUCC
rnacentral:rRNA from 1 species